rnacentral:rRNA from 1 species
AUUGAACGCUGGCGGCAUGCCUAACACAUGCAAGUCGAACGGCAGCACAGCAGUAGCAAUACUGUGGGUGGCGAGUGGCGGACGGGUGAGGAAUACGUCGGAAUCUGCCCAGUCGUGGGGGAUAACUAGCCGAAAGGUUAGCUAAUACCGCAUACGACCGAGAGGUGAAAGCGGGGGACCGCAAGGCCUCGCGCGAUUGGAUGAGCCGACGUCGGAUUAGCUAGUUGGCGGGGUAAAGGCCCACCAAGGCGACGAUCCGUAGCUGGUCUGAGAGGAUGAUCAGCCACACUGGAACUGAGACACGGUCCAGACUCCUACGGGAGGCAGCAGUGGGGAAUAUUGGACAAUGGGCGCAAGCCUGAUCCAGCAAUGCCGCGUGUGUGAAGAAGGCCUUCGG